ensembl:lncRNA
GGCAGGUYGUGCRUGGRAGYCYCRGAGGCCGGGGAARGAGGCUCCUUUGGGUCAGCGUGGGGCUGYUGGGGAGCYRUGGGGCAGCAAUCAGCACCAGSAGGGYGUUUGACCAGCCGGGACAGAGCAGACCCUUGCGGGGGAAGCCCUCCAGGCCCCAGCGAGGCGCUCAGSGGUUGUGGCCUUUGCUCUSCCCCUCCAGCCUGYGUGCUGUGUYGCCGGGCCGAUUCGGACCCAGAKAGGUAUGGGGAGAAAYGGCGGAAGGAUGGUCUCURUGCCCAUGAGACUUGCCUGGUGAGUCUCCCUGGGGCUGCCUSCAGCUUCCCYCUGGUGCCCCAGCCCAGCAGCCUGCAAUCUCCAUGCCCAGCUGGGCAGGACAGCACCUGGGAAUGCGCCUGGUCUUUGGCUGCGGGGAAUCCCAUCCCAAGAGCUCAGUGGGUGUCRACUCCUCCUCGACACCUCCUGCCCCGCCUGCGUCCCUUUGCUGCGCUCUGCUCGGGCUCUUCUCGUCCGCCCCAGCACGGCGUGUGCUCAGCUCAGCAAGGUCCAGCAGGCCAGCGCUGCCUGCAGCAGUGUCCCCCAGCCCCUCGCCCAGGCACUCUCCGCCACUGCCUUCCCUGCCCACAGCACAGUCCACGCUCCCACCUCGCCAGGCCUUUGCACUGCUUGUUGUGGACCAGCUUGAAGGCCCAGGAGCAUUGCAGCUCACCCAGCCUCAGGCAGCGCAGCAUGGCCUGCCCCAACCCUCUCGCCAGUGUCUCAGCAUCAGCCACCAGCAAUGAGCCAUGCCUCCAUGACUUGAUGAGGUCUGGGACCUUUGUGUGUUUCAGUAUCUUGCCAGCGGGCUCCCUGUGAGACACACCAGUGAGACAGGAACCGACAAGUUCCUUCCGGCGGAUAUCAGGCGUGCAGUGAAGCAGGCAACUCGGAAGAUGAAGAGCUAGCAGGGGCGUGGGGAGGUUUGUGGUGGCAUGGGUUUGUGCGGGCUCAGCCUGGCCCAUGGGAAGGCAAUCCUGGGGUUUUCCGUCAGUCCCAGGAGCUCCAGAGAGGAUCCAGGAGAAGCCGGAAGUCCAGUCCCUGAGGCGGCUCUGCAGGACGCGACUGCGCAGCGUCCCCAUCCCUGCAGCCUUGGCAAAGGUGUGGGCAGGCCUUGGGGGGCCCCGAGCAUGUCUCUGAUGAGGGGCUGCUGUGCUCUUUCCAGCUCUGCUACGUCUGUGGUGAGCACGGGGCCAUCACUAGCUGCCGGCAGAAGGGCUGCAAGCGCAGCUUCCACUUCCCGUGCGGCUGCAAAGAUGGCUGCGUCUCGCAGUUCUUUGGGCAGUACAGGUCCUUCUGCCGGGAACAUCUCCCGGAGCAAAGAGUGCAGGCACAGCUGGAUGGGGAGACCUUCUGCCUCAUUUGUCUGGAGCCCGUGGAGGAAAAGCUCUCCCACCACACUCUGGUGUGCCCUGCGUGUACGCACGCAUGGUUCCACCAGGGCUGCAUCCAGCCUCCAGCGCGCAGUCGGGGACGGCCAGCUCCAGCACCAGCAGCCAAGCAGCAUCGUCUCCCAGCUCCCAGGCUCCUGCGAGCAGCAGACGGUCAGGCCAGACAGGGCCAGAGUGAAGGGCAGGCCGCUCCCGGAUAAGUCGCCACUCACAACAUCCUUACAGCUGGCCCUGAAGAGGCAGCGCUGCCCCAGCCCAUGCGGGCUCCUUCUUCUCGGCAGUUCUGUGCAUCGGGCCUUGUGGCAGCCCCAAGGCAUGCCACCGGUCCCCAGCCCCUGCCAGAGGGAGCCCCGUGAGCCUGCUGCCUGCGCCCAGCCUGUGUCCACAGACCAGAUGCACUGGACAGGGGGACACUGCCUUCCCGCCACAGGCAACCACCCUGUGUCUGACUCUCAGUAA